rnacentral:rRNA from 1 species
UACCAGCUCUCCGAGUGGUAGGGGUGAUUAUUGGGCUUAAAGCGUCCGUAGCCGGCUUGGCAAGUUUCCUGUUAAACUCUGCGACUUAAUCGUUGAAUCGCGGGAAAUACUACUAGGCUAGGAGGCGGGAGAGGUCAACGGUACUUCUGGGGUAGGGGUGAAAUCCUAUAAUCCCGGGAGGACACCAGUGGCGAAGGCUGUUGACUAGAACGCGCUCGACGGUGAGGGACGAAAGCUGGGGGAGCGAACCGGAUUAGAUACCCGGGUAGUCCCAGCUGUAAACGAUGCGGGCUAGGUGUUGGGAUGGCUACGUGCCAUUUCAGUGCUGCAGGGAAGCCAUUAAGCCCGCCGCCUGGGGAGUACGGCCGCAAGGCUGAAACUUAAAGGAAUUGGCGGGGAGCACCACAAGGCGUGAAGCUUGCGGUUC